GAUGAACGCUGGCGGCGUGCUUAACACAUGCAAGUCGAACGGACUUGUUAUGAAGCCUAGCGAAUAACAAGUUAGUGGCGGACGGGUGAGUAACGCGUGGGUAACCUGCCUCACACAGGGGGAUAACAGUUAGAAAUGACUGCUAAUACCGCAUAUGCACACAGUACCGCAUGGUACAGGGUGGAAAGAUUUAUCGGUGUGGGAUGGACCCGCGUUGGAUUAGCUAGUUGGUAAGGUAACGGCUUACCAAGGCAACGAUCAGUAGCCGACCUGAGAGGGUGACCGGCCACAUUGGGACUGAGACACGGCCCAA
rnacentral:rRNA from 1 species